CAUCAGCCCACGGAGCCCUGGGGGCGGAAGGGAGGUCAUGGGCCUCGGCCCUUUUCUGCCAAAGCAGCCGAUCCCAGUGGGUUCAACUGGAGGAGGCAGAACCUCAGGGAGGACGGCGGGGCAGAGCUUCCUGCAGGACUGAGCCUUUCAUGGGGAGCCUAGAGCCUGUUCCUCCCUCCAGCCCUCCCUUCUUGGCCCUGCCUUGGAUCAGAGCCCACCCAGUGAUCUCCUUUCUGGGUGCUCCAGGGGACUUGAUUCAGGGGUGAAGGGACUUUACCUGUAGGCAGGAGUUCCAGCACGAGUUUGGGAUACGCGAUGUCAGAACAGCCUGAGGGGUUGCUGCAGAUCUUCCGGCAGAUCUCUGGAUCUGCACAAGCCACUUGAUCUACGGAGGAAACACAGGCCCAGAGCUGUGUUCUCACCUGGGAAGAGGAUGCGGCUAACCAUCCCAGGGAACACCAUUAUGAAGAGGGGCAGCACCUUCAGCUUUGGAUUUGUCGUUCACAUUCACAAGAGCAAGAAAUAAAAUAGCAUGUAGAGCAAUGGAAAGGAGGAAGUAGUCAAGGAAGCAGAGAAAAUGCAAAUGAGAGAAGAGGUGGAGGAAGAAAAAAGUACUGACUUCAGCCACCCUAAGGAAAGAAGCAAAGAGAAGGUAAAAGCUGGCUGAGGCCACUGUCCUGUACCUGAUCCGUGCAC